GCAGGGCUGGCUUGACGGUUAAGGCUCUGGGUUACUGACCAGAAGGUCGGGGGUUCAAGCCCCAGCGCUGCC